rnacentral:rRNA from 1 species
AGUGAACGCUGGCGGCGUGCUUAACACAUGCAAGUCGAACGAGAACGGGAUAUAGCUUGCUAUAUUUGUCAGCUAAGUGGCGCACGGGUGAGUAAUAUAUAGAUAACCUGCCCUUAAGAAAGGAAUAACAGUUGGAAACGACUGCUAAUGCCCUAUAUGCCUUUAAUACAUAAGUAUGCAAGGGAAACGCUUUAGUGCUUAAGGAUGGGUCUGUAUGGUAUCAGCUUGUUGGUGAGGUAAUGGCUCACCAAGGCUAUGACGCCUAACUGGUUUGAGAGGAUGCUCAGUCACACUGGAACUGAGACACGGUCCAGACUCCUACGGGAGGCAGCAGUGGGGAAUAUUGCACAAUGGACGAAAGUCUGAUGCAGCAACGCCGCGUGGAGGAUGACACAUUUCGGUGCGUAAACUCCUUUUAUAUAGGAAGAUAAUGACGGUACUAUAUGAAUAAGCACCGGCUAACUCCGUGCCAGCCGCCGCGGUAA